rnacentral:lncRNA from 1 species
CCCCGAUUAAAUGGUUCUUGUCCUUUCUUGAUUAAAUAAUAUGUAAAUGAUUUAUUUGAGAUAAGGAAAUAUACUUCCAAGCCAGGACCCUCUGGCCUUUCUUUGUUUUGUACAGAUGUAUGUUUUAAGAGUUUAGUGUCUUGUCAAUUUUCUCUGAACAAGUAAACAUUUUUGUUUAGGGGCCCCAGCUGAAUAUAUUUGUUCUUUGUUCAAAUCAUAUAGUGUAUUGUUUAGUGUGUGUGAAUACCAUGGUGCCCAUCAAGUAUUUUUUUUUUAUUAAGGUCUGAAAUUUGGAUAGGAAAGAAUAUCGGAGAAUGGAUAAAAUUUAC